GCGUAAGUAGUUUAGUGGUAAAAUGAUUGUUUCCCAAGCAGUCGUCCCGGGUUCGAUUCCCGGCUUACGCA